rfam:Lasius niger Lnig_2.1_18890, whole genome shotgun sequence.
CAAACGGCCUUUUUCAGGGCCACACAAAGAAAACCAAAAAUAUACAU